ACGAGGGGUCCUAGCGUUGUUCGGAAUCAUUGGGCGUAAAGCGUUUGUAGGCGGCCCUAAAAGUCGGGUGUGAAAUCCCACGGCUCAACCGUGGAAGUGCAUUCGAAACUGUAGGGCUUGGGUAUGGAAGAGGAGAGUAGAAUUCCUGGUGUAGUGGUGAAAUACGUAGAUAUCAGGAGGAAUACCGGUGGCGAAGGCGGCUCUCUGGUCCAAUACUGACGCUGAGAAACGAAAGUGUGGGGAUCAAACAGGA
rnacentral:rRNA from 1 species